AGAGAGUGAAAAAGCUAGAGAGAAAGAAGAGAGAGAGAAAGAAAGAGAGAGAGAGCGCAAAGAGAAAGAGAGAGAGAGAGAGAGAGAGAGAGAGAGAGAAAGCGCCAGCGAGCGCUAAAGAGAGAGAGGGAGAGAGAGGGAGAGAGCUAGCGAGCGCUAAAGAGAGAUAGAGUGCUAGCGAGCACUAGAGAGAGAGAGAGAGUGAGAGAGAGAGAGCGCUGGCGAGUGCUAAAGAGAGGACUCAAUUGGUGGGUCAGAGGGUCAGGAGCAGCCAGGGAGUCAAACGAAUUCCACUGUGCAGGCCCACAGAGUCCGGACUAGAACAAUAGCAGGGAGAAAAGGCUUGGACUGCAGGCCUACAGAGUCAACAGAGUCCGGACUAGAACAAUAGCAGGGAGAAAAGGCUUGGACUGCAGGCCUACAGAGUCUACAGAGUCUGGACUGGAACACUAGCAGGGAGAAAAGGCUUGGACUGCAGGCCCACAGAAUCUACAGAGCCUGGACUGGAACAAUAGCUGGGAGAAAAGGCUUGGACCACAGGCAACAAGAAUAGCAUAUUCAAAACAGACCCAUGGUUUCAGAAUGGGAAGUCCUGGUGUCCACAUCGUUUCAUAGACAGCGGAUGACGAAAUGAUGACAUGCCGAAGACAGACAGAGGGAAGGUCAAUCGGUGUAGUUGCAGUUGGGUCAACCAUAACGUCAGGUGGUCAACGUUGGAGGUCUUGACCUGAGACUAUAUGCGCGGACACACCUCUGUGGCAGACCCUGAUGGACAGCAUUAAGAGGAAAACCUGAGGCUGGCCAGAUGUUUAUUCAUAAGCUGCUGGGCAUCAGCUGCCCGUGACAGUAUACAUCCAGACUGGCCUGCUACUGUGUGUUUCUGGACCUUAUAAACUGUCGAGCAGAUCCACAACUGAUCCAAAUGGAAUGAAGGUAAUGACAUCUUCAGCUUCUGCUCCGUUAUCUCAUGACAUUUUCACUGCAGUUUACAGCCUAGGGUCAAAUGUUGCACUCACUUGAAAACAAUAACACAAUUAUUCAUUGCAUUGUGGUGUUGUAGGAUAGUCCAGGUAGGAUACUUGUAUUGUCCCUAAACAAGAUCAGUGGGGGAGCUUUAUGAGCUGGUUGUCUCAUGUCUUCAUGCACAAUGACACACCUGGCCUCUCCGUUUAUACUGAACGUCGGC
rnacentral:lncRNA from 1 species